UUACGGCCAUAUCACAUUGAAACAUCGGUUCCCGUACGAUCACCGAAGUUAAGCAACAUCGAACCUAGUCAGUACAUAGAUGGAUGACCGCUUGGGAAUACCAGAUGUUGUAUG
rnacentral:rRNA from 1 species